rnacentral:rRNA from 1 species
AUGAACGCUGGCGGCGUGCCUAAUACAUGCAAGUCGAGCGAACAGAUAAGGAGCUUGCUCCUUUGACGUUAGCGGCGGACGGGUGAGUAACACGUGGGUAACCUACCUAUAAGACUGGGAUAACUUCGGGAAACCGGAGCUAAUACCGGAUAAUAUUUCGAACCGCAUGGUUCGAUAGUGGAAGAUGGUUUUGCUAUCACUUAUAGAUGGGCCCGCGCCGCAUUAGCUAGUUGGUAAGGUAACGGCUUACCAAGGCGACGAUACGUAGCCGACCUGAGAGGGUGAUCGGCCACACUGGAACUGAGACACGGUCCAGACUCCUACGGGAGGCAGCAGUAGGGAAUCUUCCGCAAAGGGCGAAAGCCUGACGGAGCAACGCCGCGUGAGUGAUGAAGGUCUUCGGAUCGUAAAACUCUGUUAUUAGGGAAGAACAUACGUGUAAGUAACUGUGCACGUCUUGACGGUACCUAAUCAGAAAGCCACGGCUAACUACGUG